UGGCACAAUCUGCGUACGUAGA
rnacentral:miRNA from 1 species